AUUGAACGCUGGCGGCAUGCUUUACACAUGCAAGUCGAACGGCAGCGCGGGGGCAACCCUGGCGGCGAGUGGCGAACGGGUGAGUAAUGCAUCGGAACGUAUCCUGUAAUGGGGGAUAACGUAGCGAAAGUUACGCCUAAUACCGCAUACGCUCGAGAGAGGAAAGUGGGGGAUCGCAAGACCUCACGUUAUAGGAGCGGCCGAUGUCCGAUUAGCUAGUUGGUGGGGUAAAGGCCUACCAAGGCGACGAUCGGUAGCUGGUCUGAGAGGAUGAUCAGCCACACUGGGACUGAGACAGGCCCCAGACUCCUACGGGAGGCAGCAGUGGGGAAUUUUGGACAAUGGGCGUAAAGCCUGAUCCAGCCAUGCCGCGUGCGGGAAGAAGGCC
rnacentral:rRNA from 1 species